rnacentral:lncRNA from 1 species
CACGUUGGCUCUGCAUCUCUGGAGCUGUGUCAUUUCACAACUGUUGCCUAAGUGGGUCAUGCAUAAUGGAUCCUUUUCGGACUGGCUUUCACCACUCAGCAUAGUUUCCUCGAGGCGCAUCCAUGUUGUUGCAUGGAUUGCUUGAUUUUCCUUCCUUGAAAAGGGGGAGCCUAAUUGCUCUGCACGCCCCUUGAGAAAGGACUGGACUUAGUCUUGGCUUCUAAUGAAUAAACAAGACAGAAGGGAUGCUGUGACUCUCAGCGACUCCUGAGACUAGGUCCUGAAAGGCACGUGGCUUUCUCGUGGCUUUCCUCUUCAAUCAUGUACCCUAGGGAAGCAGCCACAUGCUUGAGGACACGCAAGCAGCCCUGUGGAGACCAGAAGCCAAGACACUCUGCCACAGCCAAAGAAUGUGCCAUCUUGCAAGUGGGUCCGCCAGCCCCAGUCAGCCUUCGGAGGACACCGUGACCCCAGCAGAUGGGACUCCAAGCCAGAAGCACCUGCUGCAGCUGCUCCUGAAUUCCUAACCCACAGAAACAGCAAGAAAAGAAUUAUUGCCUUAAGCCACUAAGUUUAAUUUGUUCUGCAACAAUAGAUAACUAACUCAUCCUCAUUCAGGAUUCCUUCUUGAAUUUCACCUUCUUUCUGAAGUCUUUCCUCUGAAAUUUUCUUCAGUGACAUCCUGUUGGUGGUAAACUCUCAAUUUUCUUUUGUUUGAAAAUUUUAUUUUGCCCCCAUUCUUGAAAGAUAGUUUCUCUGGGUGUGGACCUCUAGAUUAAUAAUUGUAUUGUCUUGGCUGUCAAAAUCAUCACUCACCAUCCCUGGCCUCUGAUGUUGUGGCCCUUCCUUUGUACACAACUCAUUUUCCAUCUCUGGAUUCCUCUACGGUCUUGUAAGAGAAAAUGUGCGUUUCUUUUUAAUUGUCCUGGCUGGAAUUUGUUGGUUUCCUGGAUCUGAGAAUUGAUGUGUUUAGACAAGUCUGGAAAAACUGAAGCCAGUUUAUCUUCGUAUAUUGCUCCCUUCCUAUCCUUUUUCAGGAAAUCCAGCCAGAUGCUAAACAGCCCUAUCUAUCUAUCCUUCAAGACUCUUCACCUCUCGUGCAUGGUCCCCAUCUCUCAGUCUCUCUGGGCUGUAUUCUGGGUAAUUUCCUAAGCUCUGUCUUUCAAUUCACUAAAUCUCUUUUCAGCUGUGCUGAAAAUUUUCACCUGAAGUUUAGUCCAUUUGGGUUUUUAAUUACAUUUUUUUUAAUUUUUAGAAGUUGUAUUUGAUUCUUUUUCAUCCUUU